rnacentral:miRNA from 1 species
UAUAUAUACAUAUAUAUGUAUGUCUCUCUCUAUAUAGAUAUAGAUAUGGAUAUCUAUAUAGAUAUCCAUAGAUAGAUAUAGAUAUCCAUAUCUAUAUCUAUAUAUAGAGAGAGACAUACAUAUAUAUGUAUAUAAA